UUCAUGUGUCAGACUAUGGCCUUGCCAAGUAGCAGGGACCAGACCAAACUGUGGAGUCCCGUCUACUUUGGAAGAGCCAAUUCAGCAUUUACAAUAUUUCUGCAUGCCCAUCACACCGCCAGAAAAAACAGUAUUUCAGGAGGCCAGUACCAGCAGACUGCUGCACUGAAGAGGUGGGAGAAUGAGGACUCAGAGCUAGGACACUGCUGACAUCCCAGCACUGGACCACAGCAGCAGGUGGGGCCCUGCAAUCUGCAUCUGCAGCAUAUAUCUGGAAAGGUAGACCUAAGACCACCUUAAGAAACACAUAACAGGGAUUUGGGAGGCAGACAAGAAGAUUGAAUUAUAGGAAAUACGAUAUUGAUUUUUGAAAAUGGAAGUAAGAUUGAUUCUGGCCAGUACUUCAGGUGCAAGGAAGAAAUGCCAACAGUAAGACCUCAUCUACAAGCCCUGUUAAAGAAGUGCCUCGGCGAAAAGAGCGGCAAGACCAGAGCACAUCACUUCCCAGGCCAUUGUACACCCAGUAAUGGGUCAACUUGGAAACAGAAAGGCCUGGCCUCCUCACUCUAACUUGGGAUAAUUCUAAAGGGACUUGCCAGAUUUAGAUCUUCCCUUGAGGUCGUCUGGGUCUUCAUGAGCACUGUGUCGCACUUCAACUUCUUCCUUCGCGCAAUCCUGCUUCUCAUCCAUCCCUUCCACAGGUAUUGAUAUCAAGAAUACAACCUAAUA